GACGAACGCUGGCGGCGUGCUUAACACAUGCAAGUCGAACGAUGAAGCCCAGUUUGCUGGGUGGAUUAGUGGCGAACGGGUGAGUAACACGUGGGCAACCUGCCCCAAAAUCUGGGAUAACUCCUCGAAACAGGUGCUAAUACCGGAUACGAACUAGACAGACAUCUGUACUAGUUGGAAAGUUUUUCGGUUUGGGAUGGGCACGCGGCCUAUCAGCUUGUUGGUGCGGUAACGGCUCACCAAGGCUACGACGGGUAACCGGCCUGAGAGGGCGACCGGUCACACUGGGACUGAGACACGGCCCAGACUCCUACGGGAGGCAGCAGUGGGGAAUAUUGCGCAAUGGGCGAAAGCCUGACGCAGCGACGCCGCGUGAGGGAUGAAGGUCUUCGGAUCGUAAACCUCUUUCAGUAGGGACGAAGCGAAAGUGACGGUACCUAAAGAAGAAGCACCGGCUAACUACGUGCCAGCCGCCGCUGUAA
rnacentral:rRNA from 1 species